AUUGAACGCUGGCGGCAGGCCUAACACAUGCAAGUCGAGCGAGCGGCGGACGGGUGAGUAAUGUAUGGGGAUCUGCCCGAUAGAGGGGGAUAACUACUGGAAACUGUUGCUAAUACCGCAUACUUUCGGAUGAACCCAUUUGGGAUUAGCUAGUAGGUGGGGUAAAGGCUCACAAAGGCGACGAUCUCUAGCUGGUCUGAGAGGAUGAUCAGUCACACUGGAACUGAGACACGGUCCAGACUCCUACGGGAGGCAGCAGUGGGGAAUAUUGGACAAUGGGCGCAAGCCUGAUGCAGCCAUGCCGCGUGUAUGAAGAAGGCCUUAGGGUUGUAAAGUACUUUCAGUGGGGAGGCGUUACCAGCAGAAGAAGCACCGGCUAACUCCGUGCCAGCAGCCGCGGUAAUAC
rnacentral:rRNA from 1 species